UUUCCGGUCUGGGCCCAUCGCCGCGCAGUCUUGAGAUGGGGAAGUUCAUGAAGCCGGGGAAGGUGGUGCUGGUGCUGGCCGGCCGCUACUCGGGGCGCAAGGCUGUCAUCGUAAAGAACAUCGACGAUGGUACCUCAGACCGGCCGUACAGCCACGCUUUGGUGGCCGGCAUCGACCGCUACCCGCGGAAGGUGACGGCUGCGAUGGGCAAGAAGAAGAUCGCCAAGAGAUCGAAGAUCAAGUCCUUUGUGAAGGUUUACAACUACAAUCAUCUGAUGCCCACCCGGUAUUCUGUUGAUAUUCCCCUGGACAAAACGGUGGUCAAUAAGGAUGUGUUCAGGGAUCCCGCUCUGAAACGCAAAGCAAGGCGUGAAGCCAAGGUGAAAUUUGAGGAGAGCCUGGAUGUGUUCACACAGCCAUUUGUGCUGGGAGCUGCUGGAUUGGGAUGGGGAAGUGGUUCACCAACAGCUGUAGACUUGAGCUGAUGUUUGGUGGUGAUGCUGCAGCCUCGUUCCAGCUCCAGUGGGACCUCCCCGGGGGCCAGGUACAAGACAGGCAAGAAUAAGUGGUUCUUCCAGAAGC